UCAGAAUCGAUCAUCAUUCAAAGACAAACAAACUCCAGAUGAUCUGAAAUACUUUUGGUUUUCGAUUUGCACUAGACGAUUCCUUUGAGAAAGAGACUUCGAACAAUGUCUUCGCGUCGCACCUGAGCAGAAAAUUUUAGAGAGAUGAAGAAAGAGGGGUAGAGAGGUAGAGGAGGUGGGAGGGCAAUAUGAGGUGUAAACCCUCUCGUGGUAAAGAGAGGAGAAACAGUUAGAUAAAAGAAAACCCUCUCAUGUAAAAGACGAGAAACAAUUAGAGAAGAAAAGGGACACGAUGAAGGAAAAAGUCAUUGAAAAGAGGAGAGGAGAGGAGAGAAGGUGGG